CUCUUUAAGAAAACCAGCAUUUCUAUAAAGAGCGUCUGUAUAUGUAUAUUAACAAGAGAGGACUUGAAUGGCUGUGCUUUGCAUGAUUAUAAAUAGUUUAUUUUUUGUUGUUUUUGACAACUGACUGUAGAGGACAGGAAGGGUGUUAAAAUAGACAUAUUAAACGACAAAUGGGUCGCUUGGAUCGUCUUUUUACAUGCAUUACAUGGAACAACUUUUACUCUCAACAUGCAGUGAAAGUAUUUCGCUGCUGAAUACUCCACCACUAUACUACACAAUCUCUGGUGAGUGAAAUCUAAACACUGACCUGCCAGCUGCCAAAUAUACUGUAUACAUUUUAGUUUAGUUUAUACAAAUUUGGUUGCAAAUGUGAGGGAUUUCCUCACAUUGUAGUAGAGUGUUGCUCAUAGAUUAAAAGAUCGAUCUUGGGAUUUAAGAAUCAAUACCGAGAUUGUUCAAAUGAACCUCGUGAUUCAAUGGAAAUGUAUAUUUUUCCCACCCAUACUGUGAAUAUAUCAAAAUGAACUGGAUUUGCAAUUCCUGAAGGACAUACCAGUACUUGACUGUUUUGGAAGCAAAAUAAUAGAGUUAAAGUUUUAGGUUAACUUAAGUUUUAGAUUAAGGCUUUGAUUCUACAUAGAUGAAAUACUGCAGCAGAGCCACUUUGCCUUUUUCAUGACACUCAGUGCAUGUCUUGUUUUCGAUUUGAUUUGCACAAGAAUCAACACUAGUAAUAUAUAACUUAAAUAUAACACAAUGCGUUCAGAACCCAAACAUGGUUUCUAAUUUUUCAUAAAGCACAAGUCACUGGAUUGUCAUCACUGGGCAAUAAGGUGACAGAAAAAUUAAAGCAUAGGGACUUAUGCAAACACUAUAGUUAAUUAUUAUUUAUUACUGUAAUAAUAUUUAAGACACAUUCCAAAACUGAGAGUUAAAAAUGAGAGGUGGUCUCCAAUCAGUACAGGAAGCAAUACGUUUUAAGAGUAACGUGAAACAUAGACCCCUGGAGUGAUAUUUAUGUUCAUUUUAAGUGUUCUAGCCUAAACGUAUGAGUUUGAGCUGCAAUUUACCCCCUUACCCUUUCUAUCUUUCUUUCCAUCAGUGACGGCAACACACUCUCGUGGGAUUCUCUGUACUCCCCUCCCUUGGUCGGUGUAGCCUGAACCCUGACACUUUACAUUCUUUACUUCUCUCACUCUGUUCCGCAGUAAGAGAAUCUAACCAUCGAAGUGAGGAGAGGGAAAAGUCGACGAGCCUUGCAGGUGCAACAACACUCACAGAUGGCAGACAAGCCGAGAAAACACCCUGCAGCCUGGGAGCCACGCCUGUGAGAACACAACAGAGAACUUUAGAAAGGCUCUGAGAAAAUACCUUCACCAGAGCCUCCUCAAGAUCCCAAACAACCCAUUUCUGUGCCCUUGGGCCAUGGUCUGGGCAUCGUCCAGGCAUCAUGAUGACCGGGGGGAGCGGGGAAUGGUCAGGGCCACUUGACCUACCAUGACCUUGUUUAUUUUUCAGUCAGUAAGGGCAAGCAGGGGAUCGUUUACACAAACUGCCACAACGUAACAAGCAUUCCACUGUGAAGGCAGAAGAGUUCCACAUGGACUGAUGAAGAUUCAGGUAGUCUGUGAGGACAGCCCUUUGAGGUUUCAGUUCUGUGACUAGCCUCAGGGGAUGCAGUGAAUAGCCGCUGUCAGGGUAUCCAGGAUUAGUCCGUCUGCUAGAGGCCUGCGCAUGACAGCAGUACCUAUCUCUUCACCUGGAGCGCUUGGCUCACUGGAGGAUAAGACCGAAACAUAUUAAUGCCUCACUUUUUUGUUAAACCCCAUUGGUUACUUUUAUAAUAUGUAAAUAUGCCAUUUUAAGGUUUAACAAAGUUCAGUAAAAAAAAAAAAAAAAAAAGUGAUUUAAUCCUCCAAGUCAGGCAAGUUUGUCUAGUGUAUCCAUAAAAUGAAAGUGAAUUGAGACUGAGGCUAACUUUGUUAGCUUUGAGGACACCUAUAUGCUACUAGUCUUUUUCAAAAUUUGACUAAAUAAACCUUUGGCACAUAGAAGCACUUAAAAUUUAAAGUGUUUUUCUUACUGGAAAAUAUACCAAACCGUUUAUGAAUACUAUCUGCCAGUGACUAGCAAUAACAAGUAGCAAAUAAAAUCAUAAAAACCAUUAAAAAAACUAAAAACCAUUACCUUGCCCUACCCAAACUGUCUCAAUAGGAAAUAUGUCUUCACAGGAAAAAAAAAUUGUGAAAUGUGCCCAUCAAACCAGUUUACAGAGUCUUUAAUAUGGUAAAAGCUUGAGCAUUGCUAAGGUAGGUUAGCUGUCACUAGCUAAACUGAUUAGCCAAACAGUACGAUGUGAGUUUACCCCUUCCAGAGGCAAAUGGAUAACAACUUUUAUGUGUGAGUGUUCUGUAAUGAAUCAAAUUUAUAUUAAAUAAUUAUGACACUAC